rnacentral:rRNA from 1 species
CACGUAGGCACCAAGCGUUGUCCGGAUUUAUUGGGCGUAAAGAGCUCGUAGGCGGUUCGGUAAGUCGGGUGUGAAAACUCUGGGCUCAACCCAGAGCCGCCACCCGAUACUGCUGUGACUCGAGUGCGGUAGGGGAGCGGGGAAUUCCUGGUGUAGCGGUGAAAUGCGCAGAUAUCAGGAGGAACACCGGUGGCGAAGGCGGAUCUCUGGGCCUGUUCUGACGCUGAGGCGCGAAAGCUAGGGGAGCGAACAGG